GACGAACGCUGGCGGCGUGCUUAACACAUGCAAGUCGAACGGAGCACCCCUGAAGGAGUUUUCGGACAACGGAAGGGAAUGCUUAGUGGCGGACUGGUGAGUAACGCGUGAGGAACCUGCCUUCCAGAGGGGGACAACAGUUGGAAACGACUGCUAAUACCGCAUGAAACAUUUGAACCGCAUGGUUUGAAUGUCAAAGAUUUAUCGCUGGAAGAUGGCCUCGCGUCUGAUUAGCUAGUAGGCGGGGUAACGGCCCACCUAGGCGACGAUCAGUAGCCGGACUGAGAGGUUGACCGGCCACAUUGGGACUGAGAUACGGCCCAG
rnacentral:rRNA from 1 species